CCUACGGGAGGCAGCAGUGAGGAAUAUUGGUCAAUGGCCGCAGGUCUGAACCAGCCAAGUCGCGUGAAGGAUGACUGUCCUAUGGGUUGUAAACCUCUUUUAUCAGGGAGUAAAGUGCUCCACGUGUGGCGCUUUGCGAGUACCUGAUGAAAAAGGAUCGGCUAACUCCGUGCCAGCAGCCGCGGUAAUACGGAGGGUCCGAGCGUUAUCCGGAUUUAUUGGGUUUAAAGGGUGCGCAGGCGGAUUGUUAAGUCAGGUGUGAAAGUUUGGGGCUCAACCGUAAUAUUGCAGUUGAAACUGGCAUUCUUGAGUAAGGGAGAGGUAGGCGGAAUGCGUGGUGUAGCGGUGAAAUGCUUAGAUAUCACGAAGAACUCCGAUUGCGAAGGCAGCUCACUGGACUGCAACUGACACUGAGGCACGAAAGUGUGGGUAUCAAACAGGAUUAGAUACCCGUGUAGUC
rnacentral:rRNA from 1 species